rnacentral:lncRNA from 1 species
GGGAAGCCUCGCGCGACGGGACCACGGACGAGGCCCGGGGGGCCGCGCGCGACGGUCCUGCACACCCAUGAAGCGACUGACCCAGCUGGUCUGAAGCACCCCACGAGGAGGUACCUCAGAACCCAGGCCAGAUCCACACAAGGCUCUCGGUCAGUCCCAGAUGGAAGCUCCAGUCCCAGGCCGUGACAUGCAUCAGCUCCCACACCCAGGAUUGUCCCAGAGAAAGCGCUCUGCCCUCCCCGUCCACAGCACCACGAGGGCCAUAACUGCACUGCCACACCUCUCCAGUUCCAGAGACAUCCCUGAGAGGCAGCCAUCAGGGGUGCCCAGCUGAGGACACGCCUCCUUGGGGACCCUCAUUCCUGAGUCCAUGCCUCCAGAUUCACGAUCUCAGAGACAACCACAUCCGCAACUGGCACGUGUCCCCACCGAAGGGGCUCAAGUAAGUGACUGGAGUGACCAGGGUGGAUGGGCCUGGAGUACCUGGGUCUAUAGCCCACGCCCGGAGCAGGAAAUGGGGGAGACCUGGGGUACCUGGGUCUGUAGCCCACACCCAGAGCAGGAAAUAGGGGAGACCUGGGGUACCUGAGUCUGUAGCCCACAUCCAGAGCAGGAGAGAGGGGAGACCUGGAGUACCUGUACCUGUACCUCAGCUACAGUAUCUGAGUCUGUAGCCCACAUCUGAAGCAGGAGAGAGGAGAGGGCCAUUUUGGAGUCCACCAGGUAGCCCCAGUAGGACAGGGAGAGGCUGUGUAUGAGAUGGGAUGGGUGGUGGGCCAUGGCUGUGACACUGGAGGGGACAGGGCGGGGAUACCUU